AUUGAACGCUGGCGGCAUGCUUUACACAUGCAAGUCGAACGGUAACAGGCCGCAAGGUGCUGACGAGUGGCGAACGGGUGGGUAAUGCAUCGGAACGUGCCCAGUCGUGGGGGAUAACGCAGCGAAAGCUGCGCUAAUACCGCAUACGAUCUAUGGAUGAAAGCGGGGGACCGUAAGGCCUCGCGCGAUUGGAGCGGCCGAUGUCAGAUUAGGUAGUUGGUGGGGUAAAGGCUCACCAAGCCAACGAUCUGUAGCUGGUCUGAGAGGACGACCAGCCACACGGGGACUGAGACACGGCCCAGACUCCUACGGGAGGCAGCAGUGGGGAAUUUUGGACAAUGGGCGCAAGCCUGAUCCAGCAAUGCCGCGUGCAGGAAGAAGGCCUUCGGGUUGUAAACUGCUUUUGUACGGAACGAAACGGUCCUGGUUAAUACCUGGGGCUAAUGACGGUACCGUAAGAAUAAGCACCGGCUAACUACGUGCCAGCAGCCGCGGUAA
rnacentral:rRNA from 1 species